rnacentral:lncRNA from 1 species
UUAGUUUUCCAGCUAUCACACAUGUAACACAUGCUACUUGGUUAGAAAACAUUUUCCACAUGUUAAAUAAGGCCUUCUAGAAGGCUAACACAUGUUGCACAUGGCUGCCUACGUGUCAGCAGAUCCACAUUUCAUGGAUCUAGUAUUUUCCUUGCCAAAGCCGAAGGGUAUGCUUAUAAAAAAACCCAAGGCAGCUUCUAUAUGUUACUUUUGUUAAUUGAGAGAUUAUUUGCUGAUGAAUCUUCCAGUUUUUCUCCACCGAGAGUCAUUCAACUUGUGUUUGUUUUCCUUCUCCUCUAGCUUCCUUCCUAGAGAGGGCUUUCUGAGCUAGAUUCCCUGACCACCACAAGCACUUCAUACAUNAACUUCAAUCAUUAUUCAUAUCCUCCGCUGCUGCUAUGUCAAGUCCAUUAACCACUCAGAUCUGCUGCUGUCACUCACACACUCGGUUUUCUCCUCAGAGCAUUAUCCACCGUCACUGUUCCAUUGUUUGAACUCAUGGAUCUGAACUAUUUUCCAAGGCUGGAGAUAUCAUUUGGUAUUCAGAGCAAGGUUCAAGAAGCAACCGUGAGCUAAGUCAUCUUUCCAUUUUGUUUCACUAUUACGGUUUUUUUUCUCUGUUUCAAUCAUGGUUCGGUACUGUUUCAUUAGAUUUCUUUUACAGUAGGUUCUGUUUGUGUGUCUUCUUGUGUGCUAGCCUAUCCUUGAGUGUAGAUUCUUCAUUUUAUUCGGUCAAUCCAUUGCUUAAGUCAUUUUAUUUUGAGAAAUCCAUUAUGUCAUGUACUGUCAUGUAUCAUUUUUUUCUUCUGUCUUGUU